UAAGCACUGAAGAGAUGCUCUUCUGUUAGGCAGCUGAAGAGAGAACUUAACAUGUAGGUACAGCUUUCUGUUACCUAAGGCACCUGUCUUCAGUCCUUGAAACCCAGAGCCUGGGAGGAAGACCUGCUCCUUCACCAUGGUUCCUGUGGAAAUGUUGGUCCUACACUACCUUGGAUGACCUUCAGCUUCCAGGAAUGGCUGUGUCACAUGGGUGCUGUGGAGCUGACCUUUGUCUGGACAGCCAGGAAGACCAUGGGAAAUCGUAGCCCCAGUACAGUAGUUGCUUCUGUGAAUCUAAUGGUACUGGUGCCUGGUAAGAACAGAGUUGUGGAAGAGGAGCAGGGAAGGAAAUCUAAGACUACAUGAUUUCAGGUUAGUCAGCUGCCUCUAGGUUAAAAGACUUAAGCAUGUUUUAGUACAAAAUUAAAGCAUCACUUCUUGACUAUUAAUUAGUAGCUGAGUUCUCUUUACCUGUCGUGAUUUUAAUUCAAGCUUCAGAGAUAAGGUUUAUUUGCAUACAUGGUUAUGUUUGCUGUAUCAUAAUUUUCAUACGGUUCUAGGAGUUAUUUAAAAAUUCCUGUAUAAUUCUUCUCCCCUGUGACCGUAUCUUCAAUGCAAACAAUCUUUUGCAAACAGAACCUGCUCUGGAAAGUGUUCCGAGUGUUUGGGAGGAUACUAAUUGAACAUCCCUUCGUGUGAAGAAGUGUAUAUCUCAUUGCACAAGAAGGCCUGCAGAAAUGCAAACUAUUUACUUAACUGUAUACAAUACUGGUAAAUAACACUAGUCCCUAAAAAAUUUCCUGGGCAUGAGUCUUAAGAUGAAAGACAUUUUUUACCUGUUUUUGUAGGGAAACUGUUAGGACUUGUUUCAGUGGCCAGAAUAUGCAUUGUAUUUUUCAGGGUGUUGUGCAUUUCCAAAUCACAGCUUGAACUGCAAUUGGGUAGUAACUUAUUAAGCUUGGUAUUGAUUUUUGGGGGGGAUGGAACAGUUUCUGCAAGUUAAAUCACCUGUCAACUUUAUUAAUGCUAAUGCUGUUUUGGUGAUACUGUGAGAGUAUAAUUAUGUCCGUAUCCAAACAUUUCCACCUUUUCAUGUUCUUGCUUUUGUUUUCAGUUUGUCAUAUAAUUCCAUUGCAUUGAGUAAAACUGUUUUUUAUCAGGGAUUCUGAGUGCAUAUUUUCCUUUGUUUUUGACCUCAGGACUGCAGGGUGUCACUGGGGAUGAUGACUGGUAAUGAACGGAAG
rnacentral:lncRNA from 1 species